GUAUGAAUGGCCACACGAGGGCUUUGCAGUCUCUUACUUCCAAUCCGUGAAAUUGACCUUCCCGUGAAGAGGCGGGAAUAUGACAAUAAGACGAGAAGACCCUAUGGAGCUUUAAUUAACCGACCCAAAGAGAUCUUGAUAAUCAACCGACAGGGAUAACAUACCUCUACCAUGGGCCGACAAUUUAGGUUGGGGUGACCUCGGAGAAUAAAACAACCUCCGAGUGAUUUAAAUCUAGACUAACUAGUCGAAAGUACUACAUCACUUAUUGAUCCAAAAACUUGAUCAACGGAACAAGUUACCCUAGGGAUAACAGCGCAAUCCUAUUUUAGAGUCCAUAUCGACAAUAGGGUUUACGACCUCGAUGUUGGA
rnacentral:rRNA from 1 species